GGACGCGCGGUGCCGGGAGCUGGGAGGAUCGCGGAGUAGGCUGGGGGCUGCUGCCUCGCGGACAGUGAGAGGGGACAGGGAGAGGGGACGAAGAAAUGCUAGUUCUUAACCAAGGCUAUGCAAAGGGAGAGGGGAGGCGUGUCAAAGGAGCUGCAUAAUUCAGAUGGAAAAUCCACUCCUCUCCAAUUGUCUGGGCUUCUUAGCGGCAGCGAAUUGGGAGAGGGGUGUAUUUCCAAGGACAGGGAUGGCUUGUAGGUAUCCAGCUAGAUGAGACCUCGUGGGGGUGGGGGGGAGCUGGAAUCACAGGGGUCAUUCAUCCCAGGAAAAGGUGUGAGCCAAAGGCGGGCGUAUUAAAUAUUUCCCUAACUUCAACAUUUUCCUCUGAGGUUUUUUGCAUCUCUUUUCUCAUUAAUUUAUUGUUUUUCAGUAAAGACGUAUUAUUGUGUAACCAGGAGCACUUUAGUAAUUAUACCUUUGAACAUGUUUUCCUGUAAAUAAACUAAAAAGGAUACAGGGUGGGAAGAGGAUGGGUUGAGAUUGGGGCCACCUGAAUUCCCGCCAUCCUUUGCCACGGAUUGGCUGUGUGAGGCUGAGCAAGCCUUGCACCUCUCUCUCCGUGGGAAGAACAGCGAGACCUUUUCAAAGGUUGUGGGCAGAGUCAAAGGAGAUAAUGAAACUGAAGGGGAGGCCCUGGGGAAUGGCUUCUGAUUUCCGAUGUGGAAAAAUUAAUCCGUAAGAAGUGGGUUAGCCCCGUGUAUCUCAGGAAAAGCCCAGGGAUCUAGCUGGACCCUGCAUAGAAGCUGCCAGGAGGCCUCCACACACAUUCUGAUGGGGUUCGAGAUGACCAAGUACAUUCCUGCCGACCUCCUCCCACCUCUGACUGGCAGAACAUUUGAGAAAUGGCAAGCAACCCAGACAGGUGAACACAAAACCUCAGCUUAAGUCUUGGUAAGGCCAGUUAGAGAAUGAGGCUUGACCUAUGGCCACACAUGCCCCCUAAUAGGUCCCCCAAAACUCCAGAGAGAAGACAACACCCCCAGAAGUGGCCACUGGGGAUAGAACUUAGCAUCUGCUUAGCUCCAUGUACAAGGUGCCGUGCUCAGCCCUGCAGCGGUGGAUGGUGUUAUCUGAUGGGGAAGAAGACAGAUAACAGUGGCACAGAGAGGAUGGCAGACACCUUCCUAGGAGCCCGAAGCACAGGGAUUCUCUUCUGUCUACAGCAGCCAGCAGCUUCCUCCCGAGUCUACAGGAUAGAUACGAGUCACUGGAAGCUCCCUAUGGCUUGGUGUUGAGGUAUCACCUGCUUUUCUCCACAAAGCUAGAAAGAGAAUAACUUCCUUCUGCCUUUUCAGAGGCAGCAAGGCACAGUGGUAAGAUGACAGGAUCUAGAGACAAAUGAGCUGAAGCCAAGACUGUCCUCCAACUGGGUUACCUUGAGCAAGACAUGUAACAUCUCUCAGCAUCUGAAAAAGAAAAGAAAAAAACAACAAAAUCUACUUUCGGGGCUGAGAGAGAAUAAAAUGAAAUAGUAAUUAUGAGAACACAUCCUAAAGCAUAAACUAUACAUUAUCAUGAAAUAUUAAAUAUCACCAUUAUUUAGACAUUGCUGGCUUGCUCCUCUGCUCUGUGCUCAUGGCCUACGGAUCUAUUCCUGAUAUCAAAGCUGCUUUCCUACCUAGCUGGAGCUCCAGGGAGAUGGUGAGGCCCAAUGAUCUAGGAAUAACAGGACAACUGAAUUCCCACCUGAGAGUCCUCCCGGAGCUGCAAGAGCCAAAUAGGCCUAGGGGGCACACAGGGACUCUGAGGGUACAUACAUAGUGGAUAGAGAUUAUAUGAACUGCACACACAGCACCAGAAAACACACACAUAUAUGAACACAACACAUGAGCACAAUGUGCCAUGUAACAGAAUAAACGCCUAGUGGAUGAAUAAUUGAGGAGUAAGAUGUGCUAAAUGCAGAAGCACUGGCCAAGAGAUCCUGAGUCUUAAGUUCCAUUCUGAUACUGACUCGCUAUGUAACCUCAUGAGAGCCCCUUGCUCUCUCAGUUCCUUCCUUCUCAUCUGCAAAAUAGUGACAAUAACAUCUGCCUUGCCUACUUUGUAGGGCUUGUGCAAGGAUAAAAUAAAAACUUUCCUACAGGAAGCAGUCCAAAGUCCUAUUUGUGUAACACCAGGCUCUUAGCCAUCUGUAAUGAACUACUUAAUAAACAGUUUUUAUGGAUGUGUAAAA